AGCUUUUCGAAUCCGUUCUGAGAUUUCGUCAGACAACAGCCCAUUAGGGCUGACCAAAUUUCCAAGAUAAGUGGAGUU
rnacentral:pre_miRNA from 1 species